GACCUCGGAUCAGGUAGGAAUACCCGCUGAACUUAAGCAUAUCAAUAAGCGGAGGAAAAGAAACCAACAGGGAUUGCCUCAGUAACGGCGAGUGAAGCGGCAAAAGCUCAAAUUUGAAAUCUGACCCUUCGGGUCCGAGUUGUAAUUUGCAGAGGAUGUUUCGGGUAAGAUUUAGGUCUAAGUUCCUUGGAACAGGACGUCAUAGAGGGUGAGAAUCCCGUACGUGACCGUUGAUCGCACCCAUGUGAAACUCCUUCGACGAGUCGAGUUGUUUGGGAAUGCAGCUCAAAAUGGGUGGUAAAUUUCAUCUAAAGCUAAAUAUUGGCCAGAGACCGAUAGCGCACAAGUAGAGUGAUCGAAAGAUGAAAAGCACUUUGAAAAGAGAGUUAAACAGUAUGUGAAAUUGUUGAAAGGGUAGCGC
rnacentral:rRNA from 1 species